UCCAUCCCUACGCCUUGGCCACUUCUGUCUUCUGCGCGUCAUCAGGUCUGAUGGCCCUCUGCGUACAUCUGAAUAACCUGGGGAAGUUGUGAAAAAUACACAUUCCUGGGUGGCCAGGAACAGAGAUCCCAGCAGGAUAGGUCCCAGGAAUUUCUGUGCAUUUUUAACAGCAACCAGAUGAUUCUGAAAAUGGUCCAAGAACCAAGCUUUGAGAAACACUGGUCUGAGUUCUCUGGAAAAAGUUAGGAGAGUGCUUUUCCAACCAUUAGGUGUCACUCAAAGCAUAAUUCUUAGCUACUGUCAGAUAGUCUCAGAACUUGGAUAUCUUUAUGUAAAAACUUUCAUUGUUGUCUUUUGAAAAAUCAUUAUCCUUAAUUCUUUUCAGUAGUUCUAACAUUAUAAAAGUUCUAGCACUAGGAUAAAUGAUUCUUUCUAGGAAGCCUAGUUUCAACAUUUAUUUGGGAUUUAAGAUCUUUAAGAAAGGAUUUGACAUAAUUUACAACAACAAAACACAUACAAAAUAGAAUGAUAAAAAUGAGAAAUGACCUUAAACAACGCAAACACUGGUUAGAAGCCAAGUAGAGGGAGAACAGAUGAGUUAGUCACUACUAUGAGCACUAAUGUUAGUCUUGAGUUUCUGGCCACUAAAGCAAAAUCAAAGGGAUAUCAAAUACAGUGAACCCUUGUAAGGAAUAUAUCCCAAGACCUUUGGAAAUCCUCAACUUUUGGAAUGUCCUUCUGGAGUGUAAUUUUUCUCCAUAGAAUUAGUUUAUGGUCAUGAGUGGGGCACAAAGAAGCCACAUUGGUAUCUGGAUGCUGAGUGGCAGGCCAGGCACCCUCACUAGCCAAGAGAUUCAGCCCCAUACACCAGCCUCAGUGCAUGUCACUCAAAUUCCUGCCACCGUAACGUCAUGUGUCAGAGUCUCUCUGGGCCCCUUAUGCACACUCAGUUUGCGGAUAUCAAGGGUCUACUUCGUUUACAAGUUGAGGAUUCUUAUCUGGUACCUUCUUAUCUGAUUCUUAUGCUGAAUUAUAAAGAGAGGAGGAGAGGAAGAGGGCAGGCUACUUCCAAUAAUUCUGGCCACCUGUAGAAUAUCACAGCAGUUUUUAAAGUUUUUUCCUUUGAUGUUAAAUUUGAAUGGAGUAUUUAGGGCACAAUGUUCUCCUCCUUCUUUCCAUACACUGAUAUCAAGUAUUAUGUUUACUCACUAUGAAGUGAGUAAAAAAUCCUAGAAAAGCAUCAGAAGAACUGGAAUCCAAUCCUGCCCCUGCCAUUUACCAUUGAUGUGAUUUCGGACCAACUACUCCACCUGUCUGAGCCUCAACGUCUCCCUUUAUAAGCCAAGGUGAAGCAAUGACUUUGCCUAAAGGAGCUCCAUCCCUGGGGAGUCCAUCAACCUGUCCAUGAAGGUUCAGAUGAACCACAGUGACUUCAACUCAAAUGUCUAACUGGCGAGUGGAGAAGCACGCCGUGGUGCAGCGGAGCAGUGCUCCGCUGUGGACCGGAAUGAGCUCCUGUGCGCCCACCGACAUGAGCGACCGCAGAUGCACCGUGCUGUGUGAAAGAAGGCAUGUUCCAAAGGAAUGAAUCUUGGUCUUCUCCUUCUUCUUCCCCUGCCGGCUGGCUGCCACCUCCUGGUACUUUUAGCUAACCGUGGGAACCGGGUGCUCCAGGUGGACAGACUUUCACAGAAGCUCUGGAUGCACAACUUCAGGGACCGCCAUCUGCUUCUUCUUGUCGGAGGGUGGCCUGGCCUCCCUUGGUUGGGUGGGCGGCGUGUCUCCAUCAAAAGGUGCGGCUGCAGCCCGAUGUGGUUAGGGUUAUGGAACUGGUUGGUGUUCAUGUGCUUUUGGAGAAAGGCCGGACAUUUUAACUUGUUUCUACAGAAGCUGCCAGAAAUGGUCAUAUCUUCCCAGUGCGUGAGCGUCACCUCUGAUCCUGGUUGGCCAUGGUGGGUCGGCCAUCUUCAGCAAACGCUUAAAGAAACUUCUGUUUUUUUUUAACUACUCAACAAAUAUUUAUUGAG